rnacentral:rRNA from 1 species
AACGAACGCUGGUGGCAUGCCUAACACAUGCAAGUCGAACGAAACCUUCGGGUCUAGUGUCGCACGGGUGCGUAACGGGUGGGAACCUGCCCUUAGGUUCGGAAUAACUCCCCGAAAGGGGUGCUAAUACCGGAUAAUGUCUUCGGACCAAAGAUUUAUCGCCUUUGGAUGGGCCCGCGUUGGAUUAGCUAGUUGGUAGGGUAAAAGCCUACCAAGGCGACGAUCCAUAGCUGGUCUGAGAGGAUGAUCAGCCACACUGGGACUGAGACACGGCCCAGACUCCUACGGGAAGCAGCAGUGGGGAAUAUUGGAAAAUGGGCUAAAGCCUGAUCCAGCAAGGCCGCGUGAGUGAUGAAGGCCUUAGGGUUGUAAAGCUCUUUUAACCGGGAUGAUAAUGACAGUACCGGGAGAAUAAGCUCCGGCUAACUCCGUG